AGAGGGUUGGGGUUAGGGUAGGGUUAGGGGUUGGGGUAGGGUUAGGGGUUGGAGUAGGGUUAGAAUUGGGGUAGGGUAACCCAAACCCUAUUCCCAACCCUACCAUAACCCUAACUGUACUCCUAACCCUACCCUACCCCUAACCCUACCACUAGCCUUACCCCUAACCCUACUCCUAAACCAGCCCUAACCCUACCCCUAAUCUAACCCUACCCAUAACCCUACCCCUUACCCUACCCUAACCCUCU